UAGAACUAAAUAAUUAAACGUGGAGUUUCGCCAAUAUGCAACUCGUUGCAAAUUGAACUUCACUUAAUGUGUAGUGUUUGGUUGUUGUGAUUGUCAUGCCUUGCAUUAGACCGUUCAUGCAUCAUAUGUGUUGUGCAGCGUGUGGUGAAUUCUCUGUGUUGAUGCUUGUUUCCGUUUUCCUCCGUCUCGAUAGAGUUCCGCAAGCGUGUCGGAUGUGAGGACCCGUUCGACUACGUCGGUUCGUCUGCUUCACGGAGGCAUUCUUCUUCCAAGCGGGAUCUCAGGCAAGAUGACCAUUUCCCCAGAUACCAUUACUAUCAUUGCCAUGCUAGUUUAUCGCUUCUAUCGUUUAUGUCUCGUUGCCUACCACAUGUUUAAUACCAGCCUCUCAACAAUGCCAUGAAACCUUCAACCCGUUCAUCCUAGCAAACCACUGAUUGGCUAUGUUACCGCUUGCUUAACCCUGUGUUAGCGUUGCUAGUUGCAGGUGGGCUUCCAUGCGAAAGCAUGGGUUCCUUGUUAUAUCACCAUAUCAAAUGUUAUCUAAUUUAAUGCACCUAUAUAUUUGGUAAAAGGUGGAAGGCUCAGACUUUCUAGCUUGGUGUUUUGUUCCACCUUUGCCCCCUUAGUUUCCGGCUACCGGUGUUAUGUUCCAUAAAUGAGCGCUUCUUACACGAUCGGGGUUGUUAUGGGGAUCCCCUUGAUAAUUCGUUUUAGAUUAAGGCUGGUCUGGCAAGGCCCAACUUUGGUACUACAUUUGCCUAAACACCUAAUAAAAUUGCAUAGGGACUUUCCGGACCCCGAGGAUAAUUUAAUCAACCCCCAGGCUAGUGCUCCUCAUGAGUGUUGGUCCAAAUUGGCAGACUACGGGGCCACCGCGGGGCAACCCAAGGUUUGGUUCUCCUAGUGUGACCCAUCCGUCGUGUCCUGAGAACGAGGUACGCGACUCCUACCGGGAUCGUCGACACGUCGGGCGGCCUUGCUAGAUUAGUUUUACCUUUGACGAAAUAUCUUGUGCAUCGGGAUUCCGGUGAUGCUUUGGGUAUUCUCGGAGUUGAGGUUUUCCACUAGGGAAUCCGACGAGAUCGCGAGCUUCGUGAUUGAGGAUUUCUAUGCGGCUUGUGGUAAUUUGUGAUGGACUAGUUGGAGCACCCCUGCAGGGUUAAAUCUUUUCGGAAAGCCGUGCCCGCGGUUAUGUGGCAACGUGGAAGCUUUGUUCAACACUGGUUCUAGAUAACUUGAAGUUAACUUAAUUAAAACUUGCCCACUGUGUGCGUAACCGUGACUAUCUCUUUCGUGAGUUCCUUCUCCGAUCGAGGACACGGUGGGGUUAUGUCUGACGUAGGUAGGUGUUCAGGAUCAUUCAUUUGAUCAUAAGUAGUCACGUCCGUUAUGCGUAGAUCUUCCCCCUCUUGUUCUCUUGUACUCGUAAGCUUAGCCACCAAGUAUAUGCUUAGCCGCUGCUGCAACCUCACCACUUAACCAUACCUCACCCAUUAAGCUUUGCUAGUCUUGAUACCUUUAGAAAUGAGAUUGCUGAGUCCCCUGUGGCUCACAGAUUACUACAACACCAGUUGCAGGUAAAGGUUACUUGACGCGAGCGCGUUGAUUGUACAUUUGGAGUUGCUUCUUAUUCUUCUUCUUCAUCGAUCUAGGAUGGGUUCCAGGCCGGCAGCCUGGGAUAGCAAGGAUGGACGCCGUUCUUAUUUUUCUCGUUUGUUUUCGUCCGUAGUCGGACCCUGCUCUUACUCCUGAUGAUUAUGUAAUGUACUGAUGUGACUCUGAUGUAGCUUGUGGCGACUGUAAGCCAACUCUGUAUAUAUAUCUCUUCUUUUCAGUACAUGUACUUGUAACGAUAUCCAUUCUUGCAACACGACGAGAUGCGCUUCUA
rnacentral:lncRNA from 1 species